rnacentral:rRNA from 1 species
AUGGCGGACGACGGCGCUGAGGCGUACGAGGACCUGCUGCCGGUGAUGGCGGGGCGGCUGGGCACGGCGGGGCUGCUGUCGGAGCUGCGGGCCGGGUUCCGGCUGCUGGCCGACCCGGCGCGGGGCGCCAUCACGGCCGAGAGCCUGCGGCGGAGCGCGGGGGCCGUGCUGGGCGUGGAGGGGAUGACGGCCGAGGAGGCGCAGGUGAUGGUGGGCGAGGGCGACCACGACGGCGACGGCGCGCUCAGCGAGCAGGAGUUCUGCGUGCUCAUGGUGCGGCUCAGCCCCGGCAUCAUGGCCGACGCCGAGGGCUGGCUCGAGGAGGCCAUCGCCGACGAGCUGCUCCCGCCGCCGCCGCCGCCCGCGCCGGCCGCCUGA